rnacentral:lncRNA from 1 species
AGUGAAACCCCAUCUCUACUAAAAACACAAAAAUUAGCUGGGCGUGGUGGCAGGUGCCUAUAAUCCCAGCUACUUGGGAGGCUAAGGCAGGAGAAUCUUGAACCCAGGAGGCCUCCGCCUGGGUUGCAGUGAGUCGAGGUCACACCACUGCACUCCAGCUUGGGCGACAGAGCUAGACUCCGUCUGGAGAAAAAAAAAAAAAGAAAGAAAGAAAUACAGCUGGGUGUGGUGCUCAUGCCUUAUCCUAGCACUUCGGGAGGCUACGGCAAGAGAAUCACUUGAGCCCAGGAAUUUGAGGCCAGCCUGGCCAACAUGGUGAAACCCUGUCUCUACUAAAAAUACAAAAAAUUAGCCGAGUGUGGUGGUGCACGCCUGUAGUCCCAGCUACUUGGGAGGCUGAGGCAGGAGAACCGCUUGAACCCUGGAGGCAGAGGUUGCAGUGAACCAAGAUUGUGCCACUGCACUCCAGUCUGGGUGACAGAGCGAGAUUCUGUCUCAAAAAAUAAAAAUUAAAAAAAUUAAAAAAGAUUAAAAUACAAUAAGGUAAUUAAGCAAAACCACAAAAUUUAUCAAAUUCGGUUAAAUCCAGAAUCUGUUGAACAGUUUUAUAGAUAUUUCUUGUCUUUUUCUGUGAAAAUACCAACAGGCAAUUUCUUUCUUAACCAAAGAAAUUAACAAGAUAAUACUUGAUUAAUAGGAGAAUGAAAUUAAAAGUCCACUCAUUUAUUUUGAUGCGAAUAUUUGUUAUCUUGUGUGCCUGACACUGUGCUAAGUGCUAAAAUAGAAAUUGAACAUGACCUAGUUUUUGCUCUCAAAGACCUCACAGUUUAGAAGACUCAAAUAUUAUGCAGCAAAAUAAGUGCUGUGUGUACAAAGAACAGGGAGCUCAGAGGAAGCAGCAAUUAGUACUGAUGGGGGAUUGUGGAAAGAUUAACAGAGGAGAUGGAACUUGAGCUGAUUUGUAAGGAUGAGUUAAGAUGUUGAUAGGCAUGGGAAAAGUGAAGACAUAAAGGCAUUUAAGGAUACAGCAUGUGAAGGAAAGGACAAGAAGUCUAGUAGGGCUCGGUAAGUUACACAGGUGCAUGGGAGAUGGGGAAAGAAUUCAUAUUAUGUAUCAAGCUCUUGAGUUCUGUAAUGUGCUGGACACUCAGACUGAAUGAAAAGGUGCAGUAAAAAUAUAAGUGUGGCCCCUGUUGUUAACACGACUAUAUAUUAAACAACAGUAAACACAUCAAGAAGUAAUAACCAAGUACUAAAUUUUGUGGAGCAAUAGAAAUUCAAUCAAAUUGGAGCUAUAGGGAAGAGCAGAAGGUCAAAGAAGAGUAGAGUCAAGGAGGCUUUAUCAAAGAGGUAGGAACUGAUCUGGGCCUGGAAGGAUGGGUAAGAUGUGGACAGAUGAAUGGGAGAACAUGGCAGAACAGCAGGAGUGAAACCAGCAAGUAUUCAUCACCCACCACUCCCUUAUCCAGCUCUAUAGCAAGUAUAUUGAGCAAGAAAAGCAUGGCUGUCACUUUUAAGCAGCUUAAAGUCCAGUUAUCAAGAUAAGCGAUGUAACCAACAAAUCAGUGCUGGAUUAGCCAGUAGGCAAACAUGCACUACAGAUUUUCUGAAAGUAUAUGAUAUUUCAAAAAUCAAAGAAGUUUCCAUUAGAAAAAGCUGGGCACGGUGGCUUACACCUGCAAUCUCAGCACUUUGGGAGACCAAGGCCGGGCAGAUCACUUGAGGUCAGGGGUUUGAGACCAAACUGGCCAACAUGGCAAAACCCCUGUCUCUACUAAAAAUAUAAAAAUUACCCAGAGUAGUGACGCGCGCCUGUAAUUCUAGCUACUCGGGAGGCUGAGACACGAGAAUCGCUUGAACCCAGAAGGCAGAGGUUGCAGUGAGCCGAGAUCGCACCACUACACUUCAGCUUGGGUGAUGGAGUGAGACUCUGUCUCAAAAAAAAAAAAAAAAAGGAAAAGAGAAAGAGAGAGAGAAAAAAAGGAAGGAGGGAAGGAAGGAAGGAAGAGGGAAAGAAAGAGAGAAAGAGCAGAACUCUGUUAGACUUCCUUAUAUUCGUAUUAUGGUUUAGUCUUUGUUUCUUCUCAUUGCAUGUAGUGGGGAGGGGAACUAUAAUUUUUUGGAAGUUAGAGUCUCUAAAAAUUUUAGUUCAGCUUCCUGGAAUGGGAUAAAAACCACAUAGAUAGUAGAGUUAAUAAUCCCCACAGAACUCAAAGUGGGAGAAAAUACAGGCUGGAGCAAUCUGGUCAGCCUAGAGGAGAAAACAUUCAAGUUAAACCUCUUAUGGAAGCUUGAGUAGAAAUUGGCUCCAAGAGGGAGCAAGAGCUCCGUGGAGAAAAGGAAGCCCCAAAAGGGAAUGCCCUGAGGUAUGAGCCAGACCCAGCCGGAGGGAACAGAGAAGAUGAAGCUGGAAAGGGAGUGAGAGAUUGAAGCUGAAGGUUUCUAGUUGGUGGGAUUAUCAGCCAUGGUCUGUUGGUAAUAACAACAGGAGUUCUUCUUAAUAUCCUUUUGAACUGUUGAUGAAAUGAGAUUCACUGCAUUGUAGAGAAUGACAAAUUAUCAUCUUCCACGGAAGACUGCCAUCAUGGACUAAGUUUGGUUUAUUUUUUGUGACAGAGAAGAGCAAUACAGGUGGUAAGCCAGUUAAUUUGUUUCAUUGUGUUUUGGGGGUUAUUUUUUACACUAAUUGAAAGAUUCGGCAUUUUAUUUUAUUUUAUUUUAUUUAUUUAUUUAUUUAUUUAUUUAUUUAUUUUAGAGAGAGAUGGGGUCUCACUAUGUUGGCCAGGUUGGUCUUGAACUCCUGGCCUCAAGUGAUCCUUCCACCUCGGCCUCCCAAAGUGCUGGGAUUAUAGGCAUGAGCCACCACGCCCAGCCUCAUUUUAUUAUUUGAUUCAGUUUACAACUCUAUAUCAUCUAUGCCAUCACUUCUUUGUUACAUUUAACAUUUUCAGAUUUGUGAAAAAGAUUUGAUAAUUCCAAGGAAUUAAGCUGAGAAACAGAAUAUUUAGAAGUUAUAUUUUUAUUGGGAGACACUUUUAUAAGUUUAUGUGAUUUCCCAUAUUUUAAAAAAUGUGAGAAAAAUUCAAAGCUGGUUUUUCACUGUGCUUGAUUUUUUUUUUUUCUAAAGAGGAGGAAAAAGAACUUUUUACAGAAUAAUUGCCAAGUCGGCAAGGAGAGCCUCAGCCCUUGAAGAGACCCACUUGCUAGUGACUUGGCAGUGUCAAACAAAUGUUCAACUUUUAUUCUGACACUUCUUGAAGAAUUUGAUUGAAACUAUAUAUGUCCAGAUAACACUCAGCAAAGUGCCCUUCUUGCAUUUGUUUCAAGAUAUAUUUGGAAACAAAGAGAUGACCUUGGACUCAGCUGCUUUUCCAAUUUAGGACUUCUCUCUAGGUCUACUGAAUAAUAAUAUUCCCCAACAUUGAAAAUUCAACAAAUGGAAAAACAUUUUAGUUACUAUAUGCCAUAAGUCCUAUGAUAGAGGACUUUUUCUCCCAGCAAUAUGUUCUGCUUCUAAAAGAAAUGAUAUAUUUAGCCCACAAACUCUAUAUUAGCUUUCUAACCAUCUACUUCGACAUACAUUUAGGAACACAUUUGCUUUUCAUCAGAGUGCCUUUUUGUAAUCUAAAUUGAGCUAUCCUUGCUUUUUAAAAUAUUUUAGCAUCUAAGAAAUAAAAAAACAACCCGCAGUUAACUCUUCGCCUUUGCUUUCUGGCAUUCAUAUUUUCAUUUGAAGCCGGGGUUCAUUGCAGCUUGAUGUAAGAUCUAAAAGAAGACUUUGGAGGCCCUGACAUCCCCUUCUAAGGCUAUUGCCACCUGUCCAGAUGACAAUAGAAGUCCUGCUGGUCCAACCUCAAGCCUGAAUGCCAAGAUUAGCUUCCAAUUGUGUCUACAUUUAGCCCAUGGAGAUGGAUGUUUUAACUAUCAUUAAAGUGACAUCCUUUCAGUUACCAUUUUGCAUAUUUUGGAGGUUUCAGCAGUUCCAUUUUUAAUUUGUUGUCAUGGUCACAGGAUAAGACGUAGGUAACCUUCCUGAUAAGGUGGUUUUACUUUUAAGCAAUUAAAUAAGAAUUUUAGUCUGAUCAUUGUCCUACAUGGCAUAUUAUCAGGGAUAGCCACAUUUUCUAUUUUCAUAUGGUUUCCUAAUAUGUUAUAAGCAAUUAGAGCAUUUAUAGAGAUUAAUAUGUUGUUAGCUGCAGUCUUCAGCAUGUGCAAUACAUUAAUUCCCAAUAAAAUGCUGCAUUACAGGCCGGGCGCGGUGGCUCACGCCUAUAAUCCCAGCACUUUAGGAGGCCGAGGCGGGCGGAUCACGAGGUCAGGAGAUCGAGACCAUCCUGGCUAACACGGUGAAACCCCAUCUCUACUAAAAAUAAAAACACAAAAAUUUAGCCAGGCGUGGUGGCAGGCACCUGUAGUCCCAGCUACUUGGGAGGCUGAGGCAGGAGAAUGGUGUGAACCUGGGAGGUGGAGCUUGCAGUAAGACGAGAUCGCACCACUGCACUCCAGCCUGGGCUACAGAGCGAGACUCUGUCUCAAAAAAAAAAAAAAAAAAAAAAAAAAAAAAAAAUCCUGCAUUACACAUAGGCACAUGCAAACACACACAUGUGGAAAUAGAUACACCAUAUUAUAACACUUUAUUAAAGGAUAGCUUGUUCUCAAGGAUUCCUUCUUGCUUGAUUUGGAAUCAAGUAUUAAUCAUGUGUUAGCCACAAGGUGAGUGAUUUUGAAAAGAUAGUCGAGAGAUUUUUAAACUAUUUCCACAAAGUAAAUAAAAAAUAAAAAAUAAACUAUUACCACUUAAGAUACUAUUAAAGAUGACCCAUCUCAUCAGAUGACAGACUGAUCUUAAAUUUUGGUUAUACAUUAUUGCACCAGCAUUACUUUGCAGUCUCCUAACUCAAAAACUAGUGACUUUUAGUUUUAAUCUAACAUUUACUCCUUUAUAAAAACAGAUUUUGCAUGGGAGUGGCUAUCCUGUGUACAUUUCCAUUAUUGUAGUGAAGUUGAACUAGAGCAACUGCUAAAGUCACCACACUGCCCUAAUUAAGUAAAUAAGAUCAUGUACUACUCAAGCUAAUUGAUUUUACGGAAUACACAGGAAAAGUAAAGUUUGCUUUUCCUGGUGUCAGAGAUGCCUCCAGCUACACAACUUUUGAACUGUGCUUUUUAAAGGCUUGAAAAAACAAAAUAAGAUGAUCUACAGAAUGUUCCUAAGAUCUGUAGUGCUCAAGGACAAUUUUAAUGAGGAAAAUGUCUCAGAGAAAAGGUAAUUUUAUUUCAAGUAAUAGAUUAAAUCUGAGUUUUGCUGAAUGUUUUCAUAGAACACUGUGUGUUUUCAAGAGUAAGUUUUCUCAUCCUUCUUCUAAAAACAUAGACAAAAGUUUGAGCCAAAAGGUCAGAAUAUUCCUGCAUGGUUUGUGGUUAUUAAGUUUGUCAGUAUGUUUCAGGAGUCUUUCUCUCUAUCCAUCUCUCCUUAUAUUUUCAGAUACACUUAACCAAAUCAGCAUUAUUGAUGUUCAGUGAGUAUUCAUUGCUUGAGAGUAAGAACCCCUCUGUCAGCCUUCCUAAAACAGGAGAGAUUUCUGGAAAUUACAGAAUAACAUGGUUCUUUAAACUCUUUUUAUGUGCCUUCCAUAGAUGGAAUUCAUAUCCAGCUGUCUGCACAUUUAUAUGGAAUCUGAUUUAUCCAAAUACUGUAUUUGCAGUCCCAUCAAAUCAAAGGUUUCUUUUUCUUAUUGUGCCCAAAUAUCUACCUUGAUAUUUUAGUUACAAAAUCCAGAUGUGUUUAUUUAAGGAUGCAGAUCUAAUAUGCUUUUAGUUAAAACUCAUUUAAAAAUCUUUCUUUAGCCAGGCAUGGUGGCGCAUGCCUGUAGUCCCAGCUACCCAGGAGGGUGAAGCAGGAGGAUCUCUUGAGCCGGGGAGUUGUUCAAGGCUGCAGUGAGCUAUGAUUGCACCACUGCCCUCCAGCCUGGGCAACAGAGCGAGACCCUGACUCUAAAAAAAGAAAAAAAAUCUUUCUUUGUUUUCUGUCUCUGACCUUCUCCAUCUUUUUUUGUUCAUAUAUAUUUUUCCUCCCUGUUUAUGAGUGUUAUACUGUUCAAAUGUUUUCUGAUUCUCUCUCACACAAAUUUUCUUGUCAGUGGUAGGUUCACUUUUGAAGCAUCUUUCAAAAAUAUAUUUUCAUUUUAAAAAAUAUAUGCCGUAGGUAUGAUUGCAUAACUCUGAAGAUACUAAAAACCACUGAAUGUGUAAAUACACAAAAGUCUUCUUUAAAUUGGUGAAUUGUAUGAUGUAUGAAUUAUGUCCCAAUAAAACUGUUAAAAAUUAAAAUGCAUGCUCAAUGUAACAAA